ACGCUCGACACCUACGGGAGGCAGCAGUGGGGAAUAUUGCACAAUGGGGGAAACCCUGAUGCAGCGACGCCGCGUGAGUGAAGAAGUAAUUCGUUAUAGUAAAGCUCUAUCAGCAGGGAAGAAAGUGACGGUACCUGAGUAAGAAGCCCCGGCUAACUACGUGCCAACAGCCGCGGUAAUCUGAGCGGGCUGGCAAGGC
rnacentral:rRNA from 1 species